UCUGUCAACAAAAACAGUAUUGGUGAGAUGUUGGGCCACACCAACACUGGAGGGGUCUCGGUACUUUAUAUAACACACUUUGGACGAGAAAGACAGAGGGCCAUUGCUGUGAAAGGAAAGACAAACAGAAAAAGGCGGAUCACAAGGACGGCUGACCACAUGACAAGCUGGAGAGCAGUGGUCGUCUGUGUUUCAGUCGGCUAAGUAAGACAGGACUCUUCUGUAGCAAUCCUGGGGCCCCUGAGAGAGGAUGUUACCAAACCACACAAAGCCGGCUUCAGAGCAGUCCACUGCGCACUUUGUCAGCCUACUUUCUCAACUUAACUGUUUAGGUGUUGCAUUCAAUAAAACACUCAGAAAUCUCAAGUGACACUGUGUAUUGUGAGACUUAGCUAGCCAUUUUUAAGCUACUCCUUCAAUGAGCCUCGAGUCUUCUGAAAGACUUUGUAGAACCUUACACUUUUUAAAAUCAGUCCAUAUACAAUACAAUUUAAAAGGCUUACACUGCUACUAUGUUUGCUAUGUAAAUCACAGUUAACAGUUUUGUGUAAGAUAACUAUUUAUGUUAGUAAUUAAGCAUUAUUUUGGGUUUGUAAGAAACAAAAAUGAUUUGAAAAAUGCUUCCUCCUCACAUACAAUCAAAAUAAAAGUCUCUAGCCAGGCUGGCAGCCAUGUGAGGAUGUACUGAUCAUUACACACACACACAAAAAAAACAAAAAAAAAAAAAAAACACUGGAAGGAUGAAACAUGGAGAAACAACAUUGCUAUUCUUGGAUACCACAAGGCAAAAAAUACAACAAAAUAAUAGAAAGUUUGGCCUGAGGGUGGCGCCAGAGGAAUGGACAUGUUACUAAAAUCAAAAAGGUUUAUCUUCUGUAGGUGGCAACAUAUCUCAUGCUCAGCUCUUUCAAUUUCAAAUAUACAUUAAAAAUUUGUGCAACAUUUUGAUAGAAACUAACUAACUAAACAAAGGAAGCUCAAUGCUCGAUGGAGCGGUCAUCCAUAUUACAACCUAAAACAUCAGCAUGUUGCCUGCAGUCCUGAGUGUGCAACAGGCCUUCAGCAGUCUUAAACUGACAAAAUACAACACGCCAGGUUAAAGAAUCAGGCAGGAAGAGUUUGUACCAUCCUACCCAAACUUGAUGUGUAAUCAUCUGAUCCAAAAACCUCAGGAACUUUUGCUUAACUAUAGGCAUAUUUUUAAACUCACAGUACUCACAGGUCAUGUCUGCACUGCCUUAUCUAAUUCCACAUAUCAGUACACGUGUAAUAAUCCUUCAGGUUUAGUUAAAUGUUUACAUACAGCACCAUGAUGUACCAGUAGUGCUAUACUCCUAUCACUGUAUACAUCACUUAUACUCUAACCAAAGCAGCCUGAAUACACAUACAGUUGUCCUGUACCUUGGACUGUCCAUAUGUACUGUAUGUUAUUCAUUUACUGCACAGGUUACAAAGAUAAACCCAGAGGAUGAACUGAAAACAAACAAAUCCAGUUAAAGAGCAUUAGUUUUAUUUUCCACAGGUUACUUCAGAAACAGGUAAUUAUGUACAAAAUCUGGAAUGUUGGAUAAAUGCAUAUCAAUCAUCAUUUCACUGUGGCUGUUUCCAGAGAAACCUUAGAAAUACUAGCUAUACAUUAAAACAGGUGCCUCUGCAUUGUAAUUUAUUGCUGGUUUUACAAUCGCAAGUCACUAAUGCCAUGAUUAAUUCUUUUCUCGAUUUAGAGUAUUUACAAUUUGAUUAGUAAGGUCUUAAAAAAACAAAACAAAACAAAAAAAACCCCACAGAAAACUGCUAAAUAAAUAAGAACAAUACAGGAGCAUAAGAAUCAGACCAACAUGGAUGAAGAAAAUGUGACAUGUUUUAUCUCCCAAGAUUGUCUACAAUGUCAGACUGUAUGCCAUGAAUAUAAAGUGACCAUUACCCCAGAAAUAUUUCCCCCUACUUCUAGAAAGUCAACAGAAAUCACCAACAAAAUUAAUACAAAUAAUAUAAACAACAAUUCAUCUGUGUAAAA